GACGAACGCUGGCGGCGUGCUUAACACAUGCAAGUCGAACGAAGUGGCGAACGGGUGAGUAACGCGUAAUCAACCUGCCCUUCAGAGGGGGACAACAGUUGGCAACGACUGCUAAUACCGCAUACUGAAGGAGGGGUUUGCGUCUGAUUAGCUAGUUGGAGGGGUAACGGCCCACCAGGGCGAUGAUCAGUAGCCGGGUUGAGAGGAUGAACGGGCAAAAGGGUACUGAGACAAGGCCCAGACUCCUACGGGAGGCAGCAGUGGGGAAUCCUCCGCAAUGGACGAAAGUCUGACGGAGCAACGCCGGGGGAGUGAUGACGGCCGUCGGGUUGUAAAGCUCUGUUAAUCGGGACGCGGGACCGGAAUAGAAAGCCACGGCUAACUACGUGCCAGCAGCCGCGGUAAUAC
rnacentral:rRNA from 1 species